rnacentral:rRNA from 1 species
GUUGGUGUUGAUUGCGGUGAGGGUCCACCCGUUCCCAUCCCGAACACGGAAGUUAAGCUCACCUGCGCCGAAAAUACUU